rnacentral:tRNA from 1 species
GCGUGGAUGGCCGAGUGGUCUAAGGCGCUCGACUCAAGUUCGAGUAUCUUCGGAUGCGUGAGUUCAAAUCUCACUCUACGUA